UAAGGGAGUUACCAGCAGUUUGCAUUCCUGUGCACUGCUGAAACAGUGUUAAUUGCUGGAAUUACCACCUCUUUGUCAGGACCUUGAGAGAUGAUGGCGGGACCCGAGGAAUGAAGACACACCUGUUGGCAGAAACCGCAACAGUAAAGAUAAGGGAGAAAAAACCCAGCCUGCCUAGGAACAACAAUGAGACCCAAUAAGGAGCAGGAGACCCCAGACCCAAAAAUUACUAUUGGUCUGAACUACCACAUGAGAGGUUUGAAAAAGCUAUAAUUGCCCAGGGAUUUCUUUGUUCGGGGUCCUUCUUCGGAGGCACCCAACUCAAGCUGUAACUACUGCAUGCGUGUCAUUGCCUUGAUUUGGCUCUGAACUUUUCAGCGGGAACCUAGGGUCAGACCCUGCUUGAGUUGUGAUUACUGCACGCGCAUCGCUAAAACUUACACCCAGGGUGAAGAGGACCCACCCACCACCAAGACUCCCAAAGGAAGAGGACGACAGGAUGCUGCUGGAUCCAUGGGUGGUGAUCUCUCUCUCUCUCUCUCUCUCUCUGUGUUUUUCUCUCUCUUCUGUUGAAUGUUGGUAAGAUCUGUUCAAAAUGUGUGGCAUGGGACUUGUCUAGCUAGUUGAAGUAACCACCAUUGAAUUAUCCUAUUUGACCACAUGCCUUAUCUUUGUGUUAAUAAAUCAUAAAACUGGUUGGCUGGUGUCGUUUCACCUUAAUUCAGUCCAAGCGCAUCACGAACUUGGUCAUUGGUCCCAAGGGGAGGGAGGUCAUCCUAAAUAUCUCGUUUCAGGCCGUGACAGGUGGUAAGCAAAAUUCUCUGCUCAGAUAAUCCACCCCUCGUUUCUCUAUGAUUUACCCAACAGUUAGCAUUUUGGAGUUGUUUUACUCCCACUUCAGAAGAUUCAGAAGACCUGGUUUAGAUCUCCUUUCAUAUGUGCAGCUGUUUCUUUUAGGAAGACUGGAUGACUUUUUUAAGAUAACGGAGUCCACAGAUGAGAGAGUGGCUGUGAAUAUCCUCACCUCAGAAAAAACUUCCACUGGAGUCUGCACUUUCCUAGACACCUGAGAAUCUAAGCAUGAGCAGCAGAGCCAGAAGAAGCCAAGCCUCACUGAGUCCUUGAGCAGCAUUUCCUUGUUUCUUCUUUGCGACAUGGUGUGCUGAAACUGAAUGUAAUGGCCAAGGCAAAAAUAGGUCAUACUAUCUACUAAUAUAGUAUCACAGGAUUAUAGUGUUUUCUUUAUUGUUUUUUAAACUAUUUUUCACAAAGACUGAUGCUUUCUUCCUUUUUUCAACCACCACUGCACAGUCAGCAGCUGGUUUCCUUGAGCUGUCCCUAAUGGUGCCUGAUGUGUUCUGAGAUGUUUAAAAGUAAUUCAAAACCUACCCAUGUGCAUGAGUAGUCUGUAGGGUUCUGUACAUAUCAUUUUUCUCCUGCUUGUGUUGAAUUUCGUCCUCUAUUUCAGUUUUCUUCAUUUUUUUCACUCUCUGCAAUUCCUCAUGUUUCUCCAUUUGACCCACCUACCUAAUUUUAUAUGGCACAAAUUUUGUCACCUUUGCUAUUCACCCUGAUCUUCAAAUCAUUAAUAAAUACCCCAAGCAUACAUCUUACUUUUAAUCCCUGGGGCACCCUACCUGUAACCCCUCUCCAUGCUGAGAUGGGUCAUUUGUUCCUACUCUUUGUUUCCACUCUCUCAAAUGUGUCUUUUUUUCCCCUUCUAUCUAUGCAGGACUCUACCUCUCACCUUGUGGUUACUAAGUUUCCUUUAUAGGCUCUUCUCAUGAACUUUAUCAAAAGCCUUUUGAAAGUCUAAAUAAAAAGUAGCCAUUGGUUGUCCUUUA